CUUAUAAAUAUGAAUCAGAGAUUUAAUUAAAAAUAUUUGAUUCCAAGCAUUGGUAUCAAUAAUGAGUGGAAAAUUAUAUCAUUUAAUUUUCGACAAUUAUUUAUUGAAUUUCUCACAAUUGACAAAAUAAUUGAUGGAUGUGAAGUAAAGAAUUUUUUAAUUUAAUGUACUAACUCCAUUGGCAAACAUUGAGUCUCUAAAUAUCAAUUCGAUGAUAAAUGUUUUAUUAAAAAGUUUACCAAAGUAUUUGGAUUCAUCCAUUAGUUCAAUAGAACUUGGAAAUAACAGAAGGAGGAAUUUUUGAGUAUACUAUUAAUUUAAAAGAGUGCAACAAUAGGACUGAAUUUUUAAAAAUAAUAACUUAGCCUUCAUGAUCUUGUCAGCACUUGCUGAAUAUGAAUGGAAAAAUGAUGUAUUCAGUUAAAUUUAUUUAUAUGUUGAAGUGAUGGACAGUGGGUCUCUAUUGUAUCUUAGUAACCCUGAUCGGCAAGCUAGCGACAGCCUACUGCUGCAAUUUAUCGCCAAGUUGAACGCAAAAAUUGGCAUUUCUCAGAAAUUUGGUGGUAAAAAUUGACAUCCUAUUAGUUGACGGCGAGUUGCCUUCAAUUUUCCCAGAAAGUUGGUGACAGGUUGAGGCAGUAGAUUGUCGCCAACUUCCAUGGAAAAUUGGCAACAACUUGUAGUCAACAAUUAUAAAGGCUGAAGUUGUCGUCAACUUGAUCGCAACUAAUAGACAUCAACUUCCUGACCAUGUCUUGCUAUCAGCGAACGUUCGUAUCUGAAUAUAUCAAUCGUAGGCUGCUAAUUUUUCAACUGGCGGCUAUCACAACCUUAUCAAAGCAUGAUUUCUUUUUUACCGCCAGAAGAUCGGCACUGAGUGAGCAGAGUAAUUGGAAUAUUUUUCUACCAAAUUAUAAAGAUAUGCAAAAUUAUUUACCAUCUUAUUGGUACAUUUUUCUGCUUGAAAAACAAGUCUAAAAAAAUCUCUAAUAAAAAAAAAAUGAUCAUCUAUGGAAAGUUUUUCCGAAUCCAUUAACAUAAUCCACAGUCGUAUGCUACCUUAAGGGAUGACAUGCAGCAUUCUUUUAAAUUUUAUAAUACUCUAUAAAAAAUUAUUGAUUACUUACAAAAUUAGAUUUAAUUAGAUUUUCGAUGCGUUAAAUUUGAAUUUGAUAUUUUAUUUUUUUAUAUAGUAGAAUAACUCAACUCAAAUUACCUUACAUGAAUAUAAAGUUAGCGCUGAUUAUAUAAUCAAUUAGCGAUGCGAGAUAAGGUCUGUGACGUUCAUUAAAUUAAAAAAAUAAAUAUAACAUUUUAAUGUCAAAAUUAAGAUUCUUUAUACAGCCAAUCUUAAUAAAUUUAAUCAAAAUAUAUAUAUACUUAUCUCGAAUAUAAGAAAACGUAAAUUUUAAAGACUUAUCUCAUAAAUCAUAAAAAUUAGACGGUGUAGUAAAGUCAGAUAAUUUAUAAAUGGACAAAUUAUAUAUGGAUUAAUAUAUAUAUACAUACCAAUGGAAGAUUUUUGCCUUUAGAAAAGUUGUAAUAAUUCAACAGUCUAAAUUGGAUAAAAUUUCAGUAUUCAAGACUGAGCAGUUAAGAAUUCAAUUAACGAUA